rnacentral:tRNA from 1 species
AGCCCUGAGGUGUAAUUACAUGUCAGAUUGCAAAUCUGAAGUAGCAGGUUUACCGCCUGCCGGGGCUU